rnacentral:rRNA from 1 species
AUACGGAGGGUCCAAGCGUUAUCCGGAAUCAUUGGGUUUAAAGGGUGCGCAGGCGGUCUAUUAAGUCAGUGGUGAAAUCUCGGGGCUCAACCUCGAAACUGCCAUUGAUACUGAUAAACUUGAGUUCAGUUGGAGUAGGCGGAAUGUGUAGUGUAGCGGUGAAAUGCUUAGAUAUUACACAGAACACCGAUAGCGAAGGCAGCUUACUAAACUGAUACUGACGCUGAGGCACGAAAGCGUGGGGAGCGAACAGGAUUAGAUACCCUAGUAGUCC